UACAGAGGGUGCGAGCGUUUAAUCGGAAUUACUGGGCGUAAAGCGUGCGUAGACGGUUAUUUAAGUCGGGUGUGAAAGCCCCGGGCUUAACCUGGGAAUGGCGUUUGGGACUGGGUCGCUAGAGUGUGGCAGAGGGAGGUGGAAUUCCACGUGUAGCAGUGAAAUGCGUAGAGAUGUGGAGGAACACCGAUGGCGAAGGCAGCCUCCUGGGCCAGCACUGACGCUCAUGCACGAAAGCGUGGGGAGCAAACAGG
rnacentral:rRNA from 1 species